UUAUUUUAUAACUAUAUGUGCUCUCCAGGCAUAGUAGUCCGCAUAUGUCACUAAUGUUAUCCAAGCUCCCCUCCCCCUACAAUUCCUAGCAAAUGGUACUAUCCAACACUUCAAACAAUGGACAGUCUAAUCUCCUCUUGAUUAAGAUCCGACUAUACUGGGAUCAUAAAGGCAUCGUAAGAUUAUUCCCUUGUACAAUACGCAAUUUUAUGAGGACAACGCUUGACUGAACUCAGGACUUUCGGAAGAUAACCGACUAAUGCAGCAGUUCCUGUUCAAGACCCGAGACAGCGCGUUUUAGCGCACUUCACAGCCGUUUUCAGUACCAAGGACAGGGUCUCUGGAUUGCUGCAUAGACACGGAUUUCGAAAAGGGAAAGAUCCAAAAAUAAAGCAACCCCGGUGACACCA